GAUGAACGCUGGCGGCGUGCUUAACACAUGCAAGUCGAACGGAAAGGCUCCUGCUUGCAGGGGUACUCGAGUGGCGAACGGGUGAGUAACACGGGGGUGAUCUGCCCUGCACUUCGGGAUAAGCCUGGGAAACUGGGUCUAAUACCGGAUAGGACCACAUUUUGGAUGGUGUGGUGGAAAGUUUUUCGGUGUGGGAUGAGCUCGCGGCCUAUCAGCUUGUUGGUGGGGUAAUGGCCUACCAAGGCGUCGACGGGUAGCCGGCCUGAGAGGGUGUACGGCCACAUUGGGACUGAGAUACGGCCCAGACUCCUACGGGAGGCAGCAGUGGGGAAUAUUGCACAAUGGGCGCAAGCCUGAUGCAGCGACGCCGCGUGGGGGAUGACGGCCUUCGGGUUGUAAACUCCUUUCGCUAGGGACGAAGCGCAAGUGACGGUACCUGGAGAAGAAGCACCGGCUAACUACGUG
rnacentral:rRNA from 1 species